UACGGAGGGGGCUAGCGUUGUUCGGAAUUACUGGGCGUAAAGGGCGCGUAGGCGGUUUGCUAAGUUGAAUGUGAAAACUCUGGGCUUAACCCAGAGCCUGCAUUCAAUACUGGUAGGCUAGAGUUCUGGAGGGGAUAGCGGAAUUCCUGGUGUAGCGGUGAAAUGCGUAGAUAUCAGGAGGAACACCGGUGGCGAAGGCGGCUAUCUGGACAGAGUCUGACGCUGAGGCGCGAAAGCUAGGGGAGCAAACAGG
rnacentral:rRNA from 1 species